UGGGGAAUUUUGGACAAUGGGGGCAACCCUGAUCCAGCAAUGCCGCGUGUGUGAAGAAGGCCUUCGGGUUGUAAAGCACUUUUGUCCGGAAAGAAAACGCCGUGGUUAAUACCCGUGGCGGAUGACGGUACCGGAAGAAUAAGCACCGGCUAACUACGUGCCAGCAGCCGCGGUAAUACGUAGGGUGCAAGCGUUAAUCGGAAUUACUGGGCGUAAAGCGUGCGCAGGCGGUCCGCUAAGACAGAUGUGAAAUCCCCGGGCUUAACCUGGGAACUGCAUUUGUGACUGGCGGGCUAGAGUAUGGCAGAGGGGGGUAGAAUUCCACGUGUAGCAGUGAAAUGCGUAGAGAUGUGGAGGAAUACCGAUGGCGAAGGCAGCCCCCUGGGCCAAUACUGACGCUCAUGCACGAAAGCGUGGGGAGCAAACAGGAUUAGAUACCCUGGUAUCCACGCCCUAAACGAUG
rnacentral:rRNA from 1 species